UGACUGCUUUUCAGAGACAGGGAG
rnacentral:piRNA from 1 species